UACGGAGGGGGCUAGCGUUGUUCGGAAUUACUGGGCGUAAAGCGCACGUAGGCGGCUUUGUAAGUUAGAGGUGAAAGCCCAGGGCUCAACCCUGGAAUUGCCUUUAAGACUGCAUCGCUUGAACAUCGGAGAGGUAAGUGGAAUUCCGAGUGUAGAGGUGAAAUGCGUAGAGAUUUGGAGGAACACCAGUGGCGAAGGCGACUUUCUGGUCUGUAACUGACACUGAGGCGCGAAAGCUAGGGGAGCAAACGGG
rnacentral:rRNA from 1 species